rnacentral:rRNA from 1 species
CUAUCAUUAACUGAAUCCAUAGGUUAAUGAGGCGAACCGGGGGAACUGAAACAUCUAAGUACCCCGAGGAAAAGAAAUCAACCGAGAUUCCCCCAGUAGCGGCGAGCGAACGGGGAGCAGCCCAGAGCCUGAAUCAGUAUGUGUGUUAGUGGAAGCGUCUGGAAAGGCGCGCGAUACAGGGUGACAGCCCCGUACACAAAAAUGCACAUGCUGUGAGCUCGAUGAGUAGGGCGGGACACGUGGUAUCCUGUCUGAAUAUGGGGGGACCAUCCUCCAAGGCUAAAUACUCCUGACUGACCGAUAGUGAACCAGUACCGUGAGGGAAAGGCGAAAAGAACCCCGGCGAGGGGAGUGAAAAAGAACCUGAAACCGUGUACGUACAAGCAGUGGGAGCACGCUUAGGCGUGUGACUGCGUACCUUUUGUAUAAUGGGUCAGCGACUUAUAUUCUGUAGCAAGGUUAACCGAAUAGGGGAGCCGAAGGGAAACCGAGUCUUAACUGGGCGUUAAGUUGCAGGGUAUAGACCCGAAACCCGGUGAUCUAGCCAUGGGCAGGUUGAAGGUUGGGUAACACUAACUGGAGGACCGAACCGACUAAUGUUGAAAAAUUAGCGGAUGACUUGUGGCUGGGGGUGAAAGGCCAAUCAAACCGGGAGAUAGCUGGUUCUCCCCGAAAGCUAUUUAGGUAGCGCCUCGUGAAUUCAUCUCCGGGGGUAGAGCACUGUUUCGGCAAGGGGGUCAUCCCGACUUACCAACCCGAUGCAAACUGCGAAUACCGGAGAAUGUUAUCACGGGAGACACACGGCGGGUGCUAACGUCCGUCGUGAAGAGGGAAACAACCCAGACCGCCAGCUAAGGUCCCAAAGUCAUGGUUAAGUGGGAAACGAUGUGGGAAGGCCCAGACAGCCAGGAUGUUGGCUUAGAAGCAGCCAUCAUUUAAAGAAAGCGUAAUAGCUCACUGGUCGAGUCGGCCUGCGCGGAAGAUGUAACGGGGCUAAACCAUGCACCGAAGCUGCGGCAGCGACGCUGAUGCGUUGUUGGGUAGGGGAGCGUUCUGUAAGCCUGCGAAGGUGUGCUGUGAGGCAUGCUGGAGGUAUCAGAAGUGCGAAUGCUGACAUAAGUAACGAUAAAGCGGGUGAAAAGCCCGCUCGCCGGAAGACCAAGGGUUCCUGUCCAACGUUAAUCGGGGCAGGGUGAGUCGACCCCUAAGGCGAGGCCGAAAGGCGUAGUCGAUGGGAAACAGGUUAAUAUUCCUGUACUUGGUGUUACUGCGAAGGGGGGACGGAGAAGGCUAUGUUGGCCGGGCGACGGUUGUCCCGGUUUAAGCGUGUAGGCUGGUUUUCCAGGCAAAUCCGGAAAAUCAAGGCUGAGGCGUGAUGACGAGGCACU